AUUGAACGCUGGCGGCAGGCCUAACACAUGCAAGUCGAGCGAGCGGCGGACGGUUGAGUAAUGUAUGGGGACUGCCCGAUAGAGGGGGAUAACUACUGGAAACGGUAGCUAAUACCGCAUACUAUCGGAUAACCCAUAUGGGAUUAGCUAGUGGGUGAGGUAAUGGCUCACCUAGGCGACGAUCCCUAGCUGGUCUGAGAGGAUGAUCAGCCACACUGGGACUGAGACAAGGCCCAGACUCCUACGGAGGCAGCAGUGGGGAAUAUUGCACAAGGGGGGAAAGCCUGAUGCAGCCAUGCCGCGUGUAUGAAGAAGGCCAUAGGGUUGUAAAGUACUUUCAGUCGGGAGGCGUUACCGACAGAAGAAGCACCGGCUAACUCCGUGCCAGCAGCCGCGGUAAUUG
rnacentral:rRNA from 1 species